AACUAUUAUAAGAUAGACCUAACAAAAUACAUAUGCUUUUUGCAGUCAUGAUCGAGACAAACAUGUACAUGCUAUAAUAGAAUAUUCAUGCCAUAAUGACACAUUCAUGUACUCUUAUUUCCCCCUCGUGAUAAGGGAAUGGAAUCGCCUGGACCCUUCAGUCAUUUCUGCGGACUCAUUAUCUCAGUUCACAUCACGAUUAGAAUCGAUAUCAAGCAAUCAGUAACGCAGUCUUAUUCACAUAAUAUGCUUUUCAACUCUUAUAAGCCAUGCUGAUUAUCGUGAAGGUGUUUAUUGUUAUUUUUGUUCCUGUUUUCUAUCCUUUCCAUGAUGUAUUCUCUGCAUUGCUGCACAUGUCUCCUAGACAUGUGAUAUCUAUAUUUGUUUGUUUCUUUAUAUGUAUUGUUACCUUGUUCUUUUGCAUUUCUUGCUUGGCUCAUUGACAUGCAGUUUGUAUGUGCACUUUUAUUACCAUGUAUUUUAUUUUUGUACGCCCACCUGCUAUGGUCCCUGAUGGGACUGGCAGUAUUGAAAAAAAAAAAAAAUGCAAACGUGCCUUCUUGGCUUUGUCACGCCUUGGAGAUGGCAGCUGUGCUGCAGAAGACAAAGUGCAGCACUGUACACAGUAGCUGCAAGUGUUCAAUAAGUACCUGCAGUUGUAUGAAGGCUUUAUAGCUCUUCAAAUUUAGUUUAUGCAUUGGUGACGGAGAGGGUUCUGGUGCAAGGACUGGAGCUCAGCAGUGAAAUCUGUUUGCUUUGUUCUCACCUCUCCUUUUAUGUCUUUUAUUUGAACCUUUGUGAAAUAUGUCUGCACACUUCAGGGAGUGUAUUGGUGACUUUUGACUUUAAGGUGUGAUCAUUGCAGGUGCUUUAUUUUGAUAAAAGUUUACCUUGACUUUUAAGCUCUAGUGUUUUGAGCAGGUACAUUGGAUUUAUCUCUUCUCCAGAGUCUUCAUCAUAUGGGGUAUUCAUUUCACUAAAGUGUUUCUGAUGUCAACAUCAAAAUGGCAACAGGCAACCCGCACAUUCUACAAAAUUCUCGUAGUGCCCUUGUGCCAUGUGAGGACGUCUGGUUCCAAGUCAAGAGAGUGAUUGUUCCAUAAAAUUUAGGACAUAUGGAUUUGCAUAGCAAGUGGGCAGUAUUUGGGCUCCAGUCUAUAUUUUCUUUCUCCUUCACUCCUUGUGUGCCUUGCCUUUUACAGCAGAAUAAAUUCAGCGCUUGCUACGUAACUGUAACAGACGAUGACGUACUGGUGUGCACUUUAUCAUGAUUCUACGAUUUGUUUGGUACUAGGUUUCUGCAGCUGACUGUUCAAUGCAUAGAGUUUGAUUUUUCCUUUCUUCAGCCUGAAGGCUUCCGAUUGUUUUUUCUUUUUUUCUUAUCCACCCAGGUGCAUUGGUCCCAUGUACUUGAUGUCGCCCUGUUCUCAGUAGCGCCUGUGCCCGGCGAAGAGUCUGUAAUUUCAAGGCUGGAGGUUGCCCAUUGGUGACCAUGCCUGACAAUGCCGCCUAUUGCAAUACAGCCCAGUCUUCAUGUCCAGUGUGCUGCUCCUGUCUGAUACUGCCAUGUGCAGUGACGUCAAUGACCAUGACAAGGAAGAUUGGUCGUCUUCGUCUGAAAGAGGGAUACAACACCAAUUACACAUGUACAUAUUAAACCUGCGAUCUUA
rnacentral:lncRNA from 1 species